rnacentral:lncRNA from 1 species
GUAAUGAGCAAGGGAAAACGUCCCUAGAAGCACACAGCAUCCCGAGUGAUGCCCACGGCAUCCCGAGUGACUCGGGCAGUCCCAAAGACAGCGUUGACCCACUGAGUCUUUAAGUAUCUGCUCUAUCAAAACAGCCGCUCAUGGACCCUGGACACCUGACAUCCAGCAAGCAUUGGGGACCACUCUGUAAACAGCAUCCUAACUAGUCACCUGACUCAUCCUGUGUUCUGCAAACCUGGGAAUCUGAGGGCGGCAGCAUUCACACAGUGAGAGCCUGGGCUCUGCUCUCAGGAGCUGCAAGUCUCAGGGGCCUUCACCUCAGCUACAUCUGCACUGCCCUCGCUGCAGUGAGUAGACCAGACCCGCCUCUGCCUCACCCACUCAGAUCUCUGCGGGCUACGCCCCAGCUGCUCUCUUCCUUCCCCUCUGUCCCCCCAUCCUCUCUUCACCUUCUGGCAUUUUCCACUCUGACACUGACCUUUGCGUUGACACAGUCAGUCAAUAUGUGAAACCCUUGCUUUUCUCAACCUCAAAUAAAUCCAUAAUUAAUUCAUUAA